GACGAACGCUGGCGGCGUGCUUAACACAUGCGAGUCGAACGGAAAGGCCCUGCUUUUGUGGGGUGCUCGAGUGGCGUACGGGUGAGUAACACGUGAGUAACCUGCCCUUGACUUUGGGAUAACUUCAGGAAACUGGGGCUAAUACCGGAUAGGAGCUCCUGCUGCAUGGUGGGGGUUGGAAAGUUUCGGCGGUUGGGGAUGGACUCGCGGCUUAUCAGCUUGUUGGUGGGGUAGUGGCUUACCAAGGCUUUGACGGGUAGCCGGCCUGAGAGGGUGACCGGCCACAUUGGGACUGAGAUACGGCCCAGACUCCUACGGGAGGCAGCAGUGGGGAAUAUUGCACAAUGGGCGGAAGCCUGAUGCAGCAACGCCGCGUGCGGGAUGACGGCCUUCGGGUUGUAAACCGCUUUCGCCUGUGACGAAGCGUGAGUGACGGUAAUGGGUAAAGAAGCACCGGCUAACUACGUG
rnacentral:rRNA from 1 species